rnacentral:rRNA from 1 species
UACGAAGGGGGCUAGCGUUGCUCGGAAUCACUGUGCGUAAAGCGCACGUAGGCGGCUUCUUAAGUCAGGGGUGAAAUCCUGGAGCUCAACUCCAGAACUGCCUUUGAUACUGAGGAGCUUGAGUCCGGGAGAGGUGAGUGGAACUGCGAGUGUAGAGGUGAAAUUCGUAGAUAUUCGCAAGAACACCAGUGGCGAAGGCGGCUCACUGGCCCGGUACUGACGCUGAGGUGCGAAAGCGUGGGGAGCAAACAGG